AUUGAACGCUGGCGGCAGGCCUAACACAUGCAAGUCGAGCGAGCGGCGGACGGGUGAGUAAUGUAUGGGGACUGCCCGAUAGCGGGGGAUAACUACUGGAAACGGUAGCGAAUACCGCAUACUAUCGGCUACCCCAUAUGGGAUUAGCUCGUUGGUGGGGGAAUGGCUCACCAAGGCGACGAUCCCUAGCUGGUCGGAGAGGAUGAUCAGCCACACUGGGACUGAGACACGGCCCAGACGCCUACGGAGGCAGCAGUGGGGAAUAUUGCACAAUGGGCGCAAGCCUGAUGCAGCCAUGCCGCGUGUAUGAAGAAGGCCCUAGGGUUGUAAAGUACUUUCAGUCGGGAGGCGUUACCGACAGAAGAAGCACCGGCUAACUCCGUGCCAGCAGCCGCGGUAAUAC
rnacentral:rRNA from 1 species